rnacentral:rRNA from 1 species
GAUGAACGCUGGCGGCGUGCCUAACACAUGCAAGUCGAACGAAGCACCUUACUUGAUUCUUCGGAUGAAGGUCUGGUGACUGAGUGGCGGACGGGUGAGUAACGCGUGGGUAACCUGCCCUGUACAGGGGGAUAACAGCUGGAAACGGCUGCUAAUACCGCAUAAGCGCACGAAGAGACAUCUCCUAGUGUGAAAAACUCCGGUGGUACAGGAUGGGCCCGCGUCUGAUUAGCUGGUUGGCAGGGUAACGGCCUACCAAGGCAACGAUCAGUAGCCGGUCUGAGAGGAUGAACGGCCACAUUGGAACUGAGACACGGUCCAAACUCCUACGGGAGGCAGCAGUGGGGAAUAUUGCACAAUGGGGGAAACCCUGAUGCAGCAACGCCGCGUGAGUGAAGAAGUAUUUCGGUAUGUAAAGCUCUAUCAGCAGGGAAGAUAAUGACGGUAC